GUAGGUGAACCUGCGGAAGGAUCAUUAACACGUAUCCACGUAUCAACACUCUGUGAACUUAAUCUCCCUGACAUUAGAAAAGUUGUUAGCAUAGCUAGUGAUGGGUGUAUAGCGUAAAAAACUAUAUGCAGCUGUGAGAACUAGGGUUUCGAACCCGGCGCUUUCUUUUGUUGGGCCAACAUUUCUAUCACUACAAACACACCAUUUUAACCUUUAACUCAUCUUGACUGAUGUACUUAUGUAAGAGAAA
rnacentral:misc_RNA from 1 species